rnacentral:lncRNA from 1 species
AAAAGGCCUGAGGUGGGGUGUGAGCUCAGUGUGCUGGAGGAACAGCCAGGAGGGCAGAGUGGCUGAUGGUUUGAUUUCCCGGAACUAGAGGUUUGGCUUGUACUCUGGGGGAUCCUCAUGGCUGAGACCCAAACCCUGGGCCUGAACCACCCAAGGUAAUGAGAAGCAGGAACAAAGGUCCACUCAUGAAGUUGCUUCUGGAUCGGGAAUUUGGAAACUCUUGGAAUUAGGACCCUCUUGUUCAGUUCAGGCUGAUUGAGACCACCAACCCAUAAACUGGGCCUGCACAGAUGUCUCAUAAGUGACCUGUUAACUUCAAGGGGCUACCCUCAGAUCCUGCUCUGCCAUUUUGUGAACAUGAGUCCUAUGAAGAGGCCUGGAGUCUGACUACGCUUGCACAGAUCAUCAAUUACCUCACUGCUCCUCACCUCCAAUCACCUCUCUCCACAUUUCAGACUACCUUCUCCCCUACUCCAUAAAUAUCCCUGAGUCCCCAUUUCCAGUGAAACGGAUUUGAGACGCGUUCUCUUGUUUCCUCACUGGGCUGCCUUGUGAUUAAG